GACGAACGCUGGCGGCGUGCUUAACACAUGCAAGUCGAACGAAGAGCGAUGGAAGCUUGCUUCUAUCAAUCUUAGUGGCGAACGGGUGAGUAACGCGUAAUCAACCUGCCCUUCAGAGGGGGACAACAGUUGGAAACGACUGCUAAUACCGCAUACGAUCUAAUCUCGGCAUCGAGGAUAGAUGAAAGGUGGCCUCUACAUGUAAGCUAUCACUGAAGGAGGGGAUUGCGUCUGAUUAGCUAGUUGGAGGGGUAACGGCCCACCAAGGCGAUGAUCAGUAGCCGGUCUGAGAGGAUGAACGGCCACAUUGGGACUGAGACACGGCCCAGACUCCUACGGGAGGCAGCAGUGGGGAAUCUUCCGCAAUGGACGAAAGUCUGACGGAGCAACGCCGCGUGAGUGAUGACGGCCUUCGGGUUGUAAAGCUCUGUUAAUCGGGACGAAAGGCCUUCUUGCGAAUAGNGAGAAGGAUGACG
rnacentral:rRNA from 1 species